UACGUAGGGUGCGAGCGUUGUCCGGAAUUAUUGGGCGUAAAGGGCUCGUAGGCGGUUUGUCGCGUCGGGAGUGAAAUCCACUGGCUUAACCUGGGAAUUGCGCUUGAAACUAGCGGGCUUGAGUGCGGCAGAGGGGGGGUGGAAUUCCAGGUGUAGCGGUGAAAUGCGUAGAUAUCUGGAGGAACACCGGUGGCGAAGGCGGCGUUCUGGACUGUUACUGACACUGAGGAACGAAAGCCAGGGGAGCAAACGGGG
rnacentral:rRNA from 1 species